rnacentral:lncRNA from 1 species
CAAGGGCCUCAAGCUGCAGCAAGAGAAGCUUAGAUGGGAGAUGAGCUCUGCUAGGAGGAGACGCCACAGCAUGUCCACCCUUGGAAGUUUUCAAGAGCAGGUCAGAAGACACUUGGCUUGAUUAGGAAUUGCUUAGGGACCCCCCACACCAGGCAGCCCUGCUUUCCUCGGACCCCCGCCCCCCGCGCAGGUGGCACUGCUGCACUUCGUCCUCCCCGCCUGCGGGGGGCGCGCUCGCGCCACCACGACGCUCUGCUUCGCGAAGGGAAAGGCAGGUGGGGGGCAGAGCGCUUUUGUCCCUCGCGGGCGUCCGUCGGGCUACCUAUAUAAGCGGGCGGCGGACGAGCGUCCGGCCUUUCCCCGCGGCGCGGGUGGUAGGUUGUCGUCUUGCGGGAGUCAAAUCGGAGAGUCCUCGGGAUGGGGGGUGUGUGUGUGUGUGUGUGUGCGUGCGCGCGCGCGCGCGCGCGCUCACAUAUAUGUGCGCUGGGGGUGUGGGUGUCUGCCUGCGUGCAUGUACAUGUCCAUAGGUGUGUGUACAGGCAGUCCUCAGACUCACGACACAAUCGGUUCCCGAAAACAGUGUCUGAAGUUGAAACGUCGUAACUGGGCCCCGACGUUCCCCAACCGGGGGGUCGGUUUCU